rnacentral:rRNA from 1 species
AAACCCCCUCGCCGAAAGACUAAGGUUUCCUGAUCAACGCUAAUCGGAUCAGGGUCAGUCGGGUCCUAAGGCUCAGCCGAACGGCGAUGCCGAUGGCAGAAACGGUUAAUAUUCCGUUACUACCUUCAGGAGUGACGUGGAGACGCAGUAGUGACAGUGCCGCCAUCUGACGGAAUAGAUGGUUGAAGGGUGUAGGAGUCGAUCAUGGCAGGCAAAUCCACCAUGAGAUCCGAACCUGACAGUAUGCCGCGUCCUUCGGGACAAGGCAAUAGUGCGCGUAAGCAUGCUGCCGAGAAAAUCCGCUAAACUUAAUCCUGCAGGUACCCGUACCGCAAACGGACACACGUAGUCGGGAUGAAUAUUCUAAGGCGCUUGAGUGAUUCACGGUUAAGGAACUAGGCAAACUGACCCUGUAACUUCGGGAUAAAGGGUCCCUACCCUUUUAUGGGAGGGCGCAGAGAAUCGGUCCAGGCAACUGUUUAACAAAAACACAGGGCUGUGCCAAAUCGAAAGAUCCAGUAUACAGCCUGACACCUGCCCGGUGCUGGAAGGUUAAGAGGAGAUGUCAUCGAUAAGAGAAGCGUUGAAUUGAAGCCCCAGUAAACGGCGGCCGUAACUAUAACGGUCCUAAGGUAGCGAAAUUCCUUGUCGGGUAAGUUCCGACCUGCACGAAUGGUGUAAUGAUCUGGACGCUGUCUCAACCGUGAGCUCAGUGAAAUUGUAGUAUCGGUGAAGAUGCCGAUUACCCGCGAUGGGACGAAAAGACCCCGUGAACCUUUACUAUAGCUUAACAUUGAAUUUGGGUAAUUGAUGUGUAGGAUAGGCCGGAGACUUUGAAGCAGGUACGCCAGUAUUUGUGGAGUCGCUGUUGAAAUACGGCCCUUUGAUUAUUUGAGUUCUAACUCGUAGAUACGAGGACACUGUUUGGUGGGUAGUUUGACUGGGGUGGUCGCCUCCAAAAGUGUAACGGAGGCUUCUAAAGGUGCCCUCAGGACGAUUGGUAACCGUCCGUAGAGUGUAAUGGCAUAAGGGCGCUUGACUGGGAGACAGACAAGUCGAUCAGGUAGGAAACUAGAGCAUAGUGAUCCGGUGUUUCCGUAUGGA